UGGGGAAUAUUGGACAAUGGGGGCAACCCUGAUCCAGCAAUGCCGCGUGUGUGAAGAAGGUUUUCGGAUUGUAAAGCACUUUCGACGGGGACGAUGAUGACGGUACCCGUAGAAGAAGCCCCGGCUAACUUCGUGCCAGCAGCCGCGGUAAUACGAAGGGGGCUAGCGUUGCUCGGAAUGACUGGGCGUAAAGGGCGUGUAGGCGGUUUGUACAGUCAGAUGUGAAAUCCCCGGGCUUAACCUGGGAGCUGCAUUUGAUACGUGCAGACUAGAGUGUGAGAGAGGGUUGUGGAAUUCCCAGUGUAGAGGUGAAAUUCGUAGAUAUUGGGAAGAACACCGGUGGCGAAGGCGGCAACCUGGCUCAUAACUGACGCUGAGGCGCGAAAGCGUGGGGGAGCAA
rnacentral:rRNA from 1 species